UGGGGAAUUUUGGACAAUGGGCGCAAGCCUGAUCCAGCCAUGCCGCGUGCGGGAAGAAGGCCUUCGGGUUGUAAGCCGCUUUUGUCAGGGAAGAAACGCUCUGGGCUAAUACCCUGGGGUAAUGACGGUACCUGAAGAAUAAGCACCGGCUAACUACGUGCCAGCAGCCGCGGUAAUACGUAGGGUGCAAGCGUUAAUCGGAAUUACUGGGCGUAAAGCGUGCGCAGGCGGUUAUGCAAGACAGAUGUGAAAUCCCCGGGCUCAACCUGGGAACUGCAUUUGUGACUGUAUAGCUAGAGUACGGUAGAGGGGGAUGGAACUCCGCGUGUAGCAGUGAAAUGCGUAGAUAUGCGGAGGAACACCGAUGGCGAAGGCAAUCCCCUGGACCUGUACUGACGCUCAUGCACGAAAGCGUGGGGAGCAAACAGGAUUAGAUACCCAAGUAGUCCCUGAGCGGGCUGGCAAGGCG
rnacentral:rRNA from 1 species